UACGUAGGGGGCAAGCGUUGUCCGGAUUUAUUGGGCGUAAAGAGCGUGUAGGCGGUUUGGUAGGUCCGCUGUGAAAACUCGAGCUCAACCUCGAGACGCCGGUGGAAACCAUCAGACUAGAGUCCGGAAGAGGAGAGUGGAAUUCCUGGUGUAGCGGUGAAAUGCGCAGAUAUCAGGAGGAACACCAAUGGCGAAGGCAGCUCGCUGGGACGGUACUGACGCUGAGACGCGAAAGCGUGGGGAGCAAACAGG
rnacentral:rRNA from 1 species